rnacentral:sRNA from 1 species
ACCUCAUUCAUUUCUACCGGUCUCUAGUUGUGCUGCUUCUGCUGGUGUCAUCGCCGUCCCUCCUCUGCUGCCGCCCCCGCAAGGCUUCGCCGUCGUCUAGGCCAUUUCCAGCGACUCGUCGCACGCUUUUCUAUAUACUUCGUUCCACCCCAACCGCAACCAUUGACGCCAUGUCGGGUUAUUCGAGUGACCGAGACCGCGGCCGGGACCGAGGGUUUGGUGCACCUCGAUUUGGAGGAAGUAGGGCAGGGCCCUUAUCUGGAAAGAAGUUUGGAAACCCUGGGGAAAAAUUAGUUAAAAAGAAGUGGAAUCUUGAUGAGCUGCCCAAAUUUGAGAAGAAUUUUUAUCAAGAGCACCCUGAUUUGGCUAGGCGCACAGCACAAGAGGUGGAAACAUACAGAAGAAGCAAGGAAAUUACGGUUAGAGGUCACAACUGCCCGAAGCCAGUUCUAAAUUUUUAUGAAGCCAAUUUCCCUGCAAAUGUCAUGGAUGUUAUUGCAAGACAGAAUUUCACUGAACCCACUGCUAUUCAAGCUCAGGGAUGGCCAGUUGCUCUAAGUGGAUUGGAUAUGGUUGGAGUGGCACAGACUGGAUCUGGGAAAACAUUGUCUUAUUUGCUUCCUGCCAUUGUCCACAUCAAUCAUCAGCCAUUCCUAGAGAGGGGCGAUGGGCCUAUUUGUUUGGUGCUGGCACCAACUCGGGAACUGGCCCAACAGGUGCAGCAAGUAGCUGCUGAAUAUUGUAGAGCAUGUCGCUUGAAGUCUACUUGUAUCUAUGGUGGUGCUCCUAAGGGACCACAAAUACGUGAUUUGGAGAGAGGUGUGGAAAUCUGUAUUGCAACACCUGGAAGACUGAUUGACUUUUUAGAGUGUGGGAAAACCAAUCUGAGAAGAACAACCUACCUUGUCCUUGAUGAAGCAGAUAGAAUGCUUGAUAUGGGCUUUGAACCCCAAAUAAGGAAGAUUGUGGAUCAAAUAAGACCUGAUAGGCAAACUCUAAUGUGGAGUGCGACUUGGCCAAAAGAAGUAAGACAGCUUGCUGAAGAUUUCCUGAAAGACUAUAUUCAUAUAAACAUUGGUGCACUUGAACUGAGUGCAAACCACAACAUUCUUCAGAUUGUGGAUGUGUGUCAUGAUGUAGAAAAGGAUGAAAAACUUAUUCGUCUAAUGGAAGAGAUCAUGAGUGAGAAGGAGAAUAAAACCAUUGUUUUUGUGGAAACCAAAAGAAGAUGUGAUGAGCUUACCAGAAAAAUGAGGAGAGAUGGGUGGCCUGCCAUGGGUAUCCAUGGUGACAAGAGUCAACAAGAGCGUGACUGGGUUCUAAAUGAAUUCAAACAUGGAAAAGCUCCUAUUCUGAUUGCUACAGAUGUGGCCUCCAGAGGGCUAGGUUAGUACAAACUCGCAUUCAUGGCUUGGUUUCCCAGAAGAUCUCCAUUUAACUUUUUUAAAGAAAGUUUAUUGCUUUCUUUAACCUGCAUUUUUUCUAAGUUUUUUUCACAUAAAGGUGCUGUCUUUGUGGCAAGGCCUAGGCAUGACAAUCGGAGGACUCGAGGGGGAUGGAGGACUAGUGAUCGGCUGGCUGCUUCCAGUCGAUUAGAGAGGUGAAAAAGCUGAACGUGUGCCAGUAAUCUUCAAAAGGCAGAACAUAUCACCUCUGCCCCGUAAACUGUUCUCUCCGAGGGAAAAAAUGGAAGUUAUCCUCACAGUUCACUGCCGUGGUAUUUCUUCUGUCCCAUGCUUUGCAUGACUGCCAUGGUACAGCCUUGUUUCAAACUGUUCACUGUGAUCUGUGGGUCUUUGAGUUUCAGUGAGUUUGCUGAAAUGUCGAAGAAAUAUUUCCAAACUUCAAUGUUCAAUGAAAUUUUUGUUCAAGUUUGAAAUGGAGAGAGCAGCUUUAAAAGGUACUAAGCCUUUUACAAAUUGGUGAGUACUGGCACAUGAGAUCUAGAGCAGGAGCAACUUCUCACACAUAGUAAGUGGGAAAAGAAAAUGCUUUGAAAGUUCCUCCCUCACCUACACAGUAGUCGUCAUGUCGAGACCUGCCAGAGAGAGACACAAUUCUCAAGUGAAUCCUGGCUUCUUGGAAGCGCUUGCCUAGACGAGACACAGUGCAUAAAAACAACUUUUGGGGGACAGGUAUGUUUUCUUGCAGCUGCGGUUGUAAGGUCUUGGCAAGACAAGCAGUGUGGCCAGAAUUUUGAACUUCUGAUGAAUGUGUAAUGCAAAGGACCUUGUACAUUUUUUUGUUUCAAGGUCCUCAAAAUGAGCACAUGAAGAGGUUGCUGUGAAACUUUAAGUGGCCCUACUGCGCAGAAGCAUUCAGAUGUCACUUGAUGAUCUGUAAGGGAACUUGCUGAUUUGGGAAUGUGUUUAGGGAAUACACAUUCCUUUUGACAGGGUCUGUCACUGGGUGGGUGAUGAAUUAUACAGAUGACAUGUGCUUUUUUUUCUUUUUUCAACCUCAAUGGUAUUCCUACAGGAAAUGGAUAACCAUUUUAACUGUAUUUUUUGCAGCCCGUACCUUCUUGGGAAUACAAUUGUCUAACUUUUUAUUUUUGGUCUGGCUGUUGUGGUGUGCAAAACUCCGUACAUUGCUAUUUUGCCACACUGCAACACCUUACAGAUGUGGAAGAUGUGAAAUUUGUCAUCAAUUAUGACUACCCUAACUCCUCAGAGGAUUAUAUUCAUCGAAUUGGAAGAACUGCUCGCAGUACCAAAACAGGCACAGCAUACACUUUCUUUACACCUAAUAACAUAAAGCAAGUGAGCGACCUUAUCUCUGUGCUUCGUGAAGCUAAUCAAGCAAUUAAUCCCAAGUUGCUUCAGUUGGUCGAAGACAGAGGUUCAGGUCGUUCCAGGGGUAGAGGAGGCAUGAAGGAUGACCGUCGGGACAGAUACUCUGCGGGCAAAAGGGGUGGAUUUAAUACCUUUAGAGACAGGGAAAAUUAUGACAGAGGUUACUCUAGCCUGCUUAAAAGAGAUUUUGGGGCAAAAACUCAGAAUGGUGUUUACAGUGCUGCAAAUUACACCAAUGGGAGCUUUGGAAGUAAUUUUGUGUCUGCUGGUAUACAGACCAGUUUUAGGACUGGUAAUCCAACAGGGACUUACCAGAAUGGUUAUGAUAGCACUCAGCAGUACGGAAGUAAUGUUCCAAAUAUGCACAAUGGUAUGAACCAACAGGCAUAUGCAUAUCCUGCUACUGCAGCCGCACCUAUGAUUGGUUAUCCAAUGCCAACAGGAUAUUCUCAAUAAGACUUUAGAAGUAUAUGUAAAUGUCUGUUUUUCAUAAUUGCUCUUUAUAUUGUGUGUUAUCUGACAAGAUAGUUAUUUAAGAAACAUGGGAAUUGCAGAAAUGACUGCAGUGCAGCAGUAAUUAUGGUGCACUUUUUCGCUAUUUAAGUUGGAUAUUUCUCUACAUUCCUGAAACAAUUUUUAGGUUUUUUUUGUACUAGAAAAUGCAGGCAGUGUUUUCACAAAAGUAAAUGUACAGUGAUUUGAAAUACAAUAAAUGAAGGCAAUGCAUGGCCUUCCAAUAAAAAAUAUUUGAAGACUGAAUUAA